rnacentral:rRNA from 1 species
CAAGUCGAGUGCGCGUACCGUAGCAAUACGGUAUGGCGCACGGCGCACGGGUGCGUAACACGUGGGCAAUCUGCCCUUCGAUGGGGAAUAACUUCGGGAAACCGAAGCUAAUUCCGCAUAACAUUCCUUGGAUUUCGGUUCGAGGACUCAAAGCCGUAAGGCGUCGAAGGAGGAGCCCGCGCCCGAUUAGCUAGUUGGUGAGGUAAUGGCUCACCAAGGCAAUGAUCGGUAGCUGGUCUGAGAGGAUGGCCAGCCACACUGGAACUGAGACACGGUCCAGACUCCUACGGGAGGCAGCAGUGGGGAAUCUUGCGCAAUGGGCGAAAGCCUGACGCAGCGACGCCGCGUGGGGGAUGAAGCAUCUCGGUGUGUAAACCCCUUUCGACUGGGACGAAUGCCUCGCAAGAGGAGUGACGGUACCAGUAGAAGAAGCCCCGGCUAACUACGUGCCAGCAGCCGCGGUAAGACGUAGGGGGCCAGCGUUGUUCGGAAUUACUGGGUGUAAAGGGUUCGUAGGCGGUGCGGCAAGUUGGGAGUGAAAUCUCUAGGCUUAACCCAGAGGCUGCUUCCAAAACUGCUGUGCUUGAGUGUGGGAGAGGCGCGUGGAAUUGCAGGUGUAGCGGUGAAAUGCGUAGAUAUCUGCAGGAACACCCGUGGCGAAAGCGGCGCGCUGGACCACAACUGACGCUGAGGAACGAAAGCUAGGGGAGCAAACAGGAUUAGAUACCCUGGUAGUCCUAGCCCUAAACGAUCAGGACUUGGGGUGCCGCCCGUUCGGGCGUCGUCCCGGAGCUAACGCGUUAAGUCCUGCACCUGGGGAGUACGGUCGCAAGACUGAAACUCAAAGGAAUUGACGGGGGCCC